rnacentral:rRNA from 1 species
UGUGUAGGCGGUCGUUUAAGUUUGGUGUGAAAUCUCCCGGCUCAACUGGGAGGGUGCGCCGAAUACUGAAUGACUUCGAGUGCGGGAGAGGAAAGUGGAAUUCCUGGUGUAGCGGUGAAAUGCGUAGAUAUCAGGAGGAACACCGGUGGUGUAGACGGCUUUCUGGACCGUAACUGACGCUGAGACACGAAAGCGUGGGUAGCAAACAGGAUUAGAUACCCUGGUAGUCCACGCCCUAAACGAUGCAUAUUUGGUGUGGGCAGUUCAUUCUGUCCGUGCCGGAGCUAACGCGUUAAAUAUGCCGCCUGGGGAGUACAGUCGCAAGGCUGAA